AACACCGUGAGGUCUUGUGGGGAGGAAGCGGCUAGUAAAGCUAUGAGCUGGCGAACAGAAACAUCCUAUAAGGCUUAACCUGGAGGCGAGGGGCCAAGGGCACCGAACCCGGGUGAUCUAAUAGGUAGAGUCAAUGGUGCAGCUGUGCAGUGAAAGGUCACGUU
rnacentral:ncRNA from 1 species